rnacentral:rRNA from 1 species
AUACGGAGGAUCCGAGCGUUAUCCGGAUUUAUUGGGUUUAAAGGGUGCGCAGGCGGCCAUUUAAGUCAGCGGUUAAAUCGUGGGGCUCAACCCCAUUCUGCCGUUGAUACUGGGUGGCUUGAUUGCGGUCGAGGUUGGCGGAAUUCGUUGUGUAGCGGUGAAAUGCAUAGAUAUGACGAAGAACACCGAUUGCGUAGGCAGCUGGCCAGACCGCAAAUGACGCUCAUGCACGAAAGUGCCGGGAUCGAACAGGAUUAGAGACCCUGGUAGUCCGCACAGUAAACGAUGAAUACUUGUUUUCGGCGAUAUAAUGUCGGAGGCAAAGCGAAAGCGAUAAGUAUUCCACCUGGGGAGUACGCCGGCAACGGUGAAACUCAAAUGAAUUGACGGG